AGAGUUUGAUCAUGGCUCAGAAUCAACGCUGGCGGCGUGCCUCAGACAUGCAAGUCGAACGAUUAAACUUGCCUUCGGGCAAGAUAUAAAGUGGCGCACGGGUGAGUAACACGUAAGUAAUCUACCUCUGAGUGGGGAAUAACGUUCGGAAACGGACGCUAAUACCGCAUAAUGCAGCGGCACCGCAAGGUGACAGUUGUUAAAGAUUUAUCGCUUAGAGAGGAGCUUGCGGCAGAUUAGCUAGUUGGUAAGGUAAUGGCUUACCAAGGCUACGAUCUGUAACCGGUCUUAGAGGACGGUCGGUCACACUGACACUGAAUAACGGGUCAGACUCCUACGGGAGGCAGCAGUCGGGAAUUUUGGGCAAUGGGCGAAAGCCUGACCCAGCAACGCCGCGUGAAGGAUGAAGUAUUUCGGUAUGUAAACUUCGAAAGAAUAGGAAGAAUAAAUGACGGUACUAUUUAUAAGGUCCGGCUAACUACGUGCCAGCCGCCGCGGUAAUAC
rnacentral:rRNA from 1 species